rnacentral:rRNA from 1 species
UACAGAGGGUGCGAGCGUCAAUCGGAAUUACUGGGCGUAAAGCGCACGUAGGCGGCUUGGUAUGUCGGGUGUGAAAUCCCCGGGCUCAACCUGGGAACUGCAUCCGAAACUGCCUUGCUCGAGUAUGGGAGAGGGAAGUGGAAUUUCCGGUGUAGCGGUGAAAUGCGUAGAUAUCGGAAGGAACAUCAGUGGCGAAGGCGACUUCCUGGACCAAUACUGACGCUCAGGUGCGAAAGCGUGGGGAGCAAACAGG